rnacentral:rRNA from 1 species
GUCUUUUUGAUAAUGAUUUAAAGUCUGGUCUGCCCACUGUAGUAUAUGAAGGGCCGCGGUAUUUUAACUGUGCAAAGGUAGCAUAAUAAUUAGUUUUUUUAUUGAAAACUGGAAUGAAUGGCUGGACGAGAGAAAUAGUGUCUCAAUAAAAAUUAAUGAAUUUUAUUUUUAAGUGAAAAAGCUUAAAUAAUUUUAAAAGACGAGAAGACCCUAUAGAGUUUAACAUUAAAUUCAUAGUAUAUAGUUGGAAUAUUUUAUUAUUAUGAUUAUUUUUGUUUAGCUGGGGUGGCUUUAAAAUUGAUUUAACUUUUAUAUAUAUAAACACUUAUUUGUGAUUAUUUGAUCCAUAUUUUUGAUUAAAAGAUUUAAUUACCUUAGGG